CAGAAUUCUCUGUGGGUGAUAGAUGGUAUUGGCCGUGGCACUGAUGGCAGAAUGGUCACCUGAGGAAUGGCUGCUUAUAAAUGUCAUUUUUAAAUAGCCGUUUGUGAAUGAUUGGAGUUUAUGUUUGUUGCCCCUUUUUUAUAUAAUUCAGAAUGAGUUGCUUAUGUUCCUAUGCCUGGGGCCUUUCAUGUCAAGUUUAAAACGACAGCGGAUUACAAGUGCCAAGUUAUAAAAUCCUGAAAAUAAGAGUUCCCUAUUGGAAACCUUGGAACUGAAUGCUAGCACUCGGAGAGACUGACUAAUGCUCUGGAUGACUUCAUCUUCUCUUUCUCAUUCAAGCCCCAGAGCUUUAUGGUCAUGUUGCAAUUAGUGAUGUAGUGAUAGAAUGUGUAUAAAAUGUUGUCAUUACUGAUGACUAUUUCUAUUGUCAUCCAGACAAUAUUGUUACUACUUCUUAGAACAUUGAGACUCUUGAGUGUUCUAGGCAUAGGACAGAACAAGUGUAGGAAUCUAAAAGAUAAUUCAAAUAAAGGGGAAGAUAGACAUAAUCCAAAAGAGAGAGAAAGUUGGCGACUGGAUAGGUAUUCCAACAGGCGAUCAUCGUCAGAUGCAUCAUACAAUGCAGGGAACAAGGGAUAAAAUGUUUUUAAGUAACUUCUGGGCAUCUGCUCUUCAACAAAUACCAUCCCUGAACUUCGAAAAUGAGAUGUGAAGAAGAUGCGAAGAUAGAUUCUGUCUACCUCUAGCGAAAUCCCUGAAUAAAUUUGCAGUUUGUUUUCA
rnacentral:lncRNA from 1 species